CCUGGGCUAUUUUUUUUUACAUGGUGGUUUUUCCUAGUUCAUUGACAGUGAUGACCGGUUCCCUACAGAGCUGGCCACCUUGCUGAGUGCACUGGAUGGCACACAGUGACAACAAAUGACACAGAAGCCUCUCUUCUCGAGGACUCGAGGAGUUAAAUAUCUGAUGGAGAAGAGAAGACAGGACCCAGGCACAAGCAGCGCAAUCUGUAUGAACAAAUACAAGAAUCACAUACUCCACAGUCCCAUGAGCCACGGGGAUAGAUAGCAAAGGGUUCCCCAGCAGCCCUGGCAGGCAGGUAGACAGCCACAGCUAUGCGGGCCCUUAGGUCAGCCCUCUCAGAUGAUCUGAAACCACUUCAGUCUGUCUGAAGCUCUCAUGAACAUUUCCUGUUAAGUAUUGUUUUCAAUAAUUUAUUCUGGAGGAGAUGUUGGCUCCCCUGGGAAUCACUUUGCAGCACAUCCCCUCCAGAGACCAGCUACAGACAUCAGGCGCCAGGAUAGAAGAGUCGCUCUGUGUAGACGGUGGACCAGGAAUAAGGUUGCCUCAAAAAAAUAAUAGCUGACAUCCGCCCCACCCUCCACUCUUCAAUCAAGCCAGUCAGGCAAUGAACCUUUUCACACCUGAGGGAUUAUUUUUGCUUUUGUCUGAUUCUGCUGUGUUAAAGGAAACAAGUGUUGAGAAAGUUGUUAACCCUGUACAGAAAAAGAACCCAAGUAUGAAGCCAAAGAAAGAGCAGUGGUGAAGCCUGAAAAAAGCUCAAAGCGCGGGACAAAGGCAGAGCUGGAGCUGUUCCUGCACCUGUGGGUGUAUGGGGAGCAGGGGAGAGAAGGUAUCAGCACAGGUCAUUUUUAGGGUGCCAGGGCAGGGUUGAGGAGGGAGUUCUUAGCAGUAGAAACCCACUGUGUGCUAACAGCAGUGAGGAGAGUCCUAGCAGCAAGGGUGGGAACAGAUAGGCAGCUUCCAAUGGGUGCCCAAGGUCCAAGCAUGAGUUUUUUUUUAACUCUAGAAACCCAAACAUACACUAUUUGAUAAAACUAAAAUUACUUUAGCUGCUGGAAGCAAAUCUGUGUUUUUUGUGAUCGAUUCAAACCACAGAUAGAGCAGGGGAUUGUCUUUCGGUAGGUGUGAAUGGGGCUGUAUUAGUCACCAGAGUUUCAAGUGUGCUUCUGUUUAGUUAUCAAACUGCAAUUCCAUUGAUACCCCGUCUUGAGUGUCUCCUCUGUGAGUAACAUGAAAAGGACCUCUGGUUAAAUAGAAAACUUGUCUUGAAUUUGGAAUUACAACAUGCCCUUACUUAUUCAGGACUCAAUUAACUGAGCUUCAGGAUAAUCCAAGGUGAAGAAAAACAAGAGCUGACAAAGAAAAGAAAUGGUGCUGCUGGGUUAGGGUCUCCCCAACUGAGCUGGUCUCAGCAAGUGGCGUCCAUUCGUGGGAGCUUGAAUCCAGGUCGAAGGGUCACCGGAGCAAUGGUUGGAAUGGAAAACUAGCUGGAGGACACCCGAGUACUCUAAAAGCAAUCCCCAUGGCCAAAAUCAACAGCCAAUUUGGAUACCAUCAAGACACCUGAAACCUUAUCAUGAGCCAGAUGCCAAGGAAGAGAUUCGGGAGGAUCCUGAGGACCCCCCGGUUGCAGCCAUGUUGAGACUGAUGCUGAGGAGGACCCCAACUGUCACGAGCAACACCCGUCGACCACAGCCACCCACCUGGGGACAGAUCAAGAAGCUGUCACAGAUGGCGGAGGAAAGCGGAACAACCAGUCACAAUGAAUAAUUUAAUGGUAGCUAUGAUAGUGGUUAUCACCACUGCCGUGAGUAUUCCUACAAUAAGGGCUGGUAAUAACGCCUGGAUGCAAUCACUCUAUGACACAGUUACAUAUGCUUUCUGAUCUCAGUAUUUACCAUAAUAAAUCUGCUCCUAUAAUUGAGGCAUACCACCCUUAAAAACCUAUUUGUAAACAGGAUUGGACCCAGUUAGAAAAAAUGAACACAAUUGUUUAGGAAGAUUGCCUUGCAGAACAGGCAGAGAUGCUGCACAACGAUUCCUAUGGAAUCAUUAUUAAUUGGUCCCCUAAGGGGAUGUUUAGCUUGAAUUGCACCUCUCAGUCUGCGUGCCACAGUCACACUAUGUUUAGAUGAUCUGAACAAAACAGUCAGAUGGUAGAAAUGUUAAGAAGUACGGCAAA
rnacentral:lncRNA from 1 species